CAUUUGGAAGCUGGUUGCCACAAGUGCCCAAAACAGUACCUGGUACUCAAUAAGUACUUAUUCAUUAGCGGCUGCUAUUAGUCUCUCAAUGGUCACAGACUAGCUGGGAAGACAAGAUUUGAUGUGAAAAUAUGAGACAGCUUGGCAAAGUAGACUGUGACUUCAACUGGGCAAUGCUCAAUUACAUGGUAGAAGAGGGUCUGUGGGACAAAGAGGUGGAAAUCAAGGAAGACCCCCCUGGCAGAGGUGGAACUGAGAGAGGAUGCCAACCCAGAGAGGAGACAGAGGGCAAAUAUGGAAGGCACUAUUGGUUGCCUUCCCACAGCCAAUCCCCUUUUCCUCUUUCCAGGAGCAAGGUGCCCAGACACAAGGAUGGUCCAAGCCAUUCAUGGAAAUGCCUUCUUCUUUGCCAACUGGGUCCCUCCUGGCUCCUCCCAGCAACUCAGAGCUAUAAGUGAAGAUGUCAGCACCUUGGACAGCGCCCAACCCAUUACAGGACUCUGAGCCAGCGGAAGCUAAGCUCUCCGACUCCCUUAGCCUCUGGGUGAUGGAUUUCCUCGUUUCUCAAUUUGAUUAAAGCCCAGUAGAUAACCA